AAGAAAGUUUCAUGGACGUGGCAGGUACACUUAACGCCGUUACGGUAGAAUCCGAAGGCGAGACUGCGCAGGAAAUGGCAGCAGCGAUUAAGGAUUUUCCCACGGGGAAAUUUGAAGGCCGGCUCGCUGUCUCGGCGCUCAACUUUCCAUCGUGUGAGGAAACACAAAAGGGAAUUCCUGAGUAUAACAAUGUGCCAGGGCCAGAUGGAAAUACCACACAAGUGCUCCUGGAGGAAGGAGAUUGUGAGGACGCCCAGGGCGAGGUGGGGAGCAAAGCGCCAGAGAGCCUUCAAAACAGUGGCUGUGGAACCGGUGCUGACUAUUUAGUGGUGAUGGAGCAUAUGGAAGAGGAGCAAGAGAGCGUGCGAGAUGUUAAGAACAACUUUGAUUCUGGAUUGCCUCAAGAAACAGAGAAACCGCUCCAAGCAGUAACCCGAGAAUCUGGACACUUAAUUGAGGAAGAGGAAGGAGAAUCUUUGGUUGAUUGUAUGAAGACGGCCAUCGAACACACAGAAAAGGAAUUUGAGAUGCGCAUUGGCCCAACAGACACGAUCAAUAAGGCGGAAAACGAGCCCCAAGAUGGGUUGGAAGAGAUUUUAAUUGACUUAGAAAUAGACGAAGGGUCAUGUGAUCCCAAAGGCAGCAGCAGGACGACAGGAGCUUCAGCAUCAGAGGAAACUUUCCUCAAGGCUGAAGAGCAGAAGAUGACAGAGACUAGCUCCUGUCACGUAGGUGAGCUGACCUCCGAGCAGAACAGAAACAUGGCUCCUAGUUCACUGGAAGACAUAACUGAAUCUGGAUGCUUGAAACGGCACGAUGAGACUGAGGCUGAACUACUUGAAGAUGUAAAAAGACAGGAAGCUGAUGUGAAAGAAGCAGCUAGGGAAGUUGAGCAGGUGGUUGCGGCAGAAGAUGAGAUGCAGAGCCAAAAUGAGAUGGAAUUGUCACAUCAGCAGGUCGAGGAAUCUGUUGGGUCACCUGAGAAGAGCAAUGUACAACCGGACGAAGCACUUGAGAUCAACGAUGAGACUUUAACAGACUCUGAAGCGCCUGAGGAAUCAAAGACGGCAGAGUCCAAAGCAGAAGAUUUCACUUCAGGAGUGGACGAGCAGAGUUGUGCUGAAGAAACUGUCUCCUCAUCCAGCGGAUGUCAGGGUGUGGUCGAUGACGAGGUCCAACAACAAGUAGACCCGCGGACGGGAGAACUAACUGAGCCUUACGAUGAGGAGCAAGGGGAAAUAUCGUCACUGCAGACGGAGAAGGAUGAAGACCAGCGUGUGGAGUCAAAUUCAAGGGAAUCUGAAUUGUUGGGUCACACAGAAACGUCUUCCUCAACAGUAGAGACUGGAUUUGUUCACCAGUCCGGGUCAUUUCAAAGCCUAUAUGACACGUUGGCUAUUGUCUCAGAAUCAGCAGACAUCUCCGAGCUGUCUAGCCUACAACCCAACUGUGAUAUGCGGGACACGUUGAGAGAGGAAGCGGCUGAGACGGGGCAAACGGAUCUGAAGGAGAAGGAAGAAUUCGGAGGGGCAGGAUUUCACCCCGAUUUGGAAGUCCCCUCACCAGAGGCCAGACAUCAGGGAUCCGCUGAAACUGGAUCAGGGAAUGAGAUCGAUGUCGAGGCCUCCGACUGGAAAGACGACGGAGAAGUUGAACCUCAGCCACAGACCGAAAGGAGUUUUCUUUACCAAUUUGAGAAAACCCCAACUGAAGAUGAGCCUCAAGAGUUGGCCGCGUCCGACUCUCCGGAUGAUAUUAAAGGCACAGAACCAGAACAAUCGACAUCCGGCUCAGAGGCGUUGUUAGAGGAUGAAAUAGUGCCGACGGAAUCUCGCUCACAGAGCGACGUCUGCACUGAAUCCGAGAGGAAGCUGCCCUCGGUGGACAAACCCCAGCCCGGGUGGAAUGAAGGAGUUGCCGAGUCAUCCGUUGGGCUCAACAUGGCCGACGGGGCAGAACAUCCAGCGACAACGUCUGAAGAUCAGAUGGAGGUGGAGAGCUCUGCGCUUGACUUUACCGCGCAAAGGUCAAGAAUUUCUGUUAAAAACCCACAUGUACGGCCACCCAAAGAUGCCCGCUCCCUCCUAAAUAUGCCCUCAUUGGAUCCCACACCCUCCCCACACAUGUCUCCCAAAGUCCCUGUAGGUGGGCCUUUGGGAGGCUUGGGCUUUGGAAUAAAACUCCCUGGCCUUGGUGGGGGAUUUCCUGUUUUAAAAAAGACAAAGCUGGUUGGAAGAGAUGAAAAUAGUCCCGAGACCCUAUCACAGGAGACAAAGCCAGAGGAGAGGAGUGACACCGAAGAUGAGACCCAACACAAACCAAAAUGGAUGCCACCAAGACAUCCAGGAUUUGGAAAUCCACUUAUGUCCGAGUUGAAGACCAAACUGAAGAAAACCACAAAAGAGUGA
ensembl:lncRNA